GACGAACGCUGGCGGCGUGCCUAAUACUUGCAAGUAGAACGCACAGUUUAUACCGUAGCUUGCUACACCAUAGACUGUGAGUUGCGAACGGGUGAGUAACGCGUAGGUAACCUGCCUGGUAGCGGGGGAUAACUAUUGGAAACGAUAGCUAAUACCGCAUAAUAUUAAUUAUUGCAUGAUAAUUAAUUGAAAGGUGCAAUUGCACCACUACCAGAUGGACCUGCGUUGUAUUAGCUAGUAGGUGAGGUAACGGCUCACCUAGGCGACGAUACAUAGCCGACCUGAGAGGGUGAUCGGCCACACUGGGACUGAGACACGGCCCAGACUCCUACGGGAGGCAGCAGUAGGGAAUCUUCGGCAAUGGACGAAAGUCUGACCGAGCAACGCCGCGUGAGUGAAGAAGGUUUUCGGAUCGUAAAGCUCUGUUGUAAGAGAAGAACGGGUGUGAGAGUGGAAAGUUCACACUGUGACGGUAGCUUACCAGAAAGGGACGGCUAACUACGUG
rnacentral:rRNA from 1 species